UUAUUUUAUGUCGGAAGCGACCGGUGAGAUAUUAAGGCAAUGACGUAUCCAAAGGUGUAUUACUGGUUGCCAAUUAGUUAUAAAUUUUAAAUUUAGUAUCUGUUUUUCUUAAAAAUACUUAUGAAAAUAUCAAAGAAUUUAAAGUAAAUUAUUUCGCAACAAUAUCAUAUAACUUUCUGUAUGAAAAUUAGUUAUAAAAUCAAGUUUAAUGGGUAUUUUUAUGAUUAUUAAAAAUAACGACCAAUGGCAUUAUUUUGAUAGUUCGAUUUUAAAUGGAAUGUGUUCAAAGAAAAGUGAAAAAUACUUUGAAUUCGUUAUAUUUUCCUAAUAAAUUAGUCUCUCAAGUGUUUUAAACUCACCCAGAAUGAAAAUCUACACAGCGCAAGGCACUGAAAGUGGAAUUAGUGAUUUGAAACAUGGUGAUAUUGACCGUUUACGAGCACACUGUUAUAUUCAAGAAUUGAGACCAUAUUUAUAGUUUUUUGAGAAACUAUAAUAAAUAAGCCUAUCAGGUCGAUGCUUCUACACAUCUAAUCAAAUCAAUACAAAAAGGUACAAAAAAAAUUAAGGAGUCUUCUAUUCAACCAAAUGCCAAGAAUAUUAUUUCAUCAGCAGAAGGGAAGAAAGUAAAUUUUAGCAACAAUGGGACUUAAUUUUUUAAUAGCGGCCAAAAGCAGACCCUGUAUCGACUAAAUAUUACACUCUACACUCCAUAUUUGUGAAUGUUUCAGCCAAUAGAAUUACUGGAAAUCGAUUCAAGGUCGUUACGCCGUUACGCC